ensembl:lncRNA
CCCUCUCUCUCUGCCCCUCCCCCGUUCAUGCUCUGUCUCUCUCUGUCCCAAAAAUAAAAAUAAAAACGUUAAAAAAAAAUUUUUUUUAGGGGCGCCUGGGUGGCGCAGUCGGUUAAGCGUCCGACUUCAGCCAGGUCACAAUCUCGCGGUCUGUGAGUUCGAGCCCCGCGUCAGGCUCUGGGCUGGUGGCUCGGAGCCUGGAGCCUGUUUCUGAUUCUGUGUUUCCCUCUCUCUCUGCCCCUCCCCCGUUCAUGCUCUGUCUCUCUCUGUCCCAAAAAUAAAAAAAAAAAAAAAAACGUUGAGAAAAAAAAAAAAUUUUUUUAAUUAAAAUAAAAAAAAAAAUAGUCACACGCUCUACUGACUAAGCCAGCCAGGUGCCUCCAGAAUAGGAUUUAAAUGACACAGUCAACUGUAAAAACAUCUAUAAGAUCUCUCCCCACCGGUGUGCUUUGCUGGCGACUGACCUCUUUCUAGACGUCCCCCCGUCAAUUCCAAAAGAUGUCCUAUAAGCUUGGACUCUCACGGACCUCCAGACAUCUGACCCCCAUGCCCCCCCAAAAGCCCCUCUCCAGUGGACAGAGAGCACGUGGAGCCACACGCCUGGGGUGCUGACUAGCUGUGGGCACCCGGGUGCAGCCCUGUUCCCCCCCGGGCUCCAGUGCCCGGCCUGGGAAGAAGGCACGUGCCUUAGUGAGCAAGGCCUCCAGCCCCACAGGGGCCCCAGAAGUUGGCCCAGAAAGGACACUUGAAGGUCUUUAAGGGGAGACAGAGCCAGAGAAAUGCUCAGGCUAGGAAGCCAUCUCCAGGGGAGGGGGAAAAAUGAGCGACAAGAAAUACCAAGGAUGUUCCGGAAGCUUUACGCAUGAUGCCAAGAAACGGGAUGCAGCCGAACACCACGUCACUGUUCCAAGCGGCGCUCGUGGCUGGGGUUCAUGAACACGGGAAAUGCUUCAGGACGACACGAGGAUUACAGAAGUAUAAGUGGGUCCCAGGCAAUGCUUGGGGCAUGCCUAUAUGAAGAAGUAUCCAGUCUAUACUUUAUCUGGCAAUGCUUUGCGAGACGGGGAGAUCGACGCCCCGGGAAGGAAGCAAGACAGAAGAUGGGAACCGGGUUGGGAUUCUUGAUGGUAAAGCCUCCCGUUUGGGCUGUGCUUUGUACUUGACCAAGUGGUUUUUUUCUAUCCCACCUGAGAUCCACUGUCGCCCUCCAGGAGAGUAUUCUCUUAUUCCCACUUGAAGUUGAAGGACUUAAGGCUCAGGUCGUCCAGGGUCCCCACCGGGCUGACAAGGUGAGCCGCCUCAGUGUCUGGUCUCCCGGGGCGCCUCUCCCCGACCCUAGUUCUUCUCUUGGAAACCUCAGCAGACCCCAUACGUGGGCCCUGAAACCCACCGGCGGGGCUCCAGGAUGGGCCCUGCAUCCUGAAGCUUCAGGGCUCAAGGCCCGCCACCCCCCGUGAUAGUUAACCUUGUGUCUCAGUUGCCCGGGACGUGGGGUGCCCAGAUGUUUGGCUAAACUUAAUUUCCGGGUGUGUCUGUGAGGGGGUUUCUGGACGAGAUUAGCCUUUGAAUCAGUAGACUGUGGGGCGCCUGGGUGGCGCAGUCGGUUAAGCGUCCGACUUCAGCCAGGUCACGAUCUCGCGGUCCGUGAGUUCGAGCCCCGCGUCGGGCUCUGGGCUGAUGGCUCAGAGCCUGGAGCCUGUUUCCGAUUCUGUGUCUCCCUCUCUCUCUGCCCCUCCCCCGUUCAUGCUCUGUCUCUCUCUGUCCCAAAAAAUAAAUAAAAAACGUUGAAAAAAAAAAAAAUAAAA